ACUGACCAAAUUUCAAGUUUGUAGUUGUUAUAGUUUCGGAGAUUUCGUGAUGAGUGAGUCAACCUACCAUACCCCGUUUUAAACCCAAAAGGAAGUUGAUUUCUAAAGACACAUUAUUUGAACACCUUCUCACCAUCUAUAGAGCAUACAUUUUAAAUUUCAAGUCUCUUACUUCAAAAACAUAGGACUUUCAUACAAAUUUCCAACCCCCGUUUUAUCCCCUUAGGGGUCGAAUUUCGUAAAAUCAGUUCUUAGCAGAUGUCUAAGCCCUAUAAGGAACCUGCCAGUUUGUAUCUGUUAUACUUUCGGAUAUUUCGUGAUGAGUGAGUCAACCUACCAUCCCUCGUUUCAACCCCAAAAAGGAGUUGAUUUCUAAAGACACAUUAUUUGGAAACUUCCUCACCAUCUAUAGAGCAUACAUUUUCAAUAUCAAGUCUCUGACUUCAAAAUCAUAGGACUUUCAUACAAACUUCCAACCCCCGUUUUACCCCCUUAAGGGUCGAGUUUCGUAAAAUCCGUUCUUAGCAGAUGUUUACGCCCUAUAAGGAACCUACCU
rnacentral:misc_RNA from 1 species